rnacentral:lncRNA from 1 species
CGAUGAUGAUGCAUAUUAUCUCUUUGUAAUCCUCUAUGAGUGCAGAAUGUUAGGUAAAAAUUUCAUCAAAUUUGGAGUCCUAAAGUGGAUCAAAAUCGGAAUGAAGUAACCUACUGUCAGUCCGGGUUACUGUUCAUCCGGGUGGAAAAUAAGGGAUUUCAUGCUAUAAUAGAGUAUUAAGCCUAGAUCAAGCUAAAAGGAACAUUGUACUCAUGCAAAGGAGUCCCUAAUACACAUAAAUGGUGAGUUAAUUAAUUAAAAAGAAAAAGAGAAAGAAAAGAAAAGAUUUAGGGAACGGGGGAGUUGAAUCAAUUAAAGUU